rnacentral:siRNA from 1 species
ACAACCUAAGAGAAAGGUGUGUU